AAUUAGAAAGCAAUGAUAAGGAAUUAAAACUGACAUUAUUCAUCUUUUCUUCACUGUUACGGGACCUGGAAAGCAAGGAAUUCCUUAAAAUAAGCAAUUCUGGCCGUUAGGUUUAAAACUGAGAUGGAAGCUAAAGUUGAAGGAUAUAUUUUAUUUGGAAGAACAGCACAUAUCAUUAUCGGCAAGAUCUGCUAUGAGGAGAAAAGUAGGUGCCCACGAGCAGAAAAAGUCACAAACAAGGCAGCGGCAAGAGAAUGGGAGCAGAGGGCGACAGUAGAGAAGACUGGAGGCAAGGACUCCGUCAGGACGCAAGUGGCACCCAAAGAGGGACAAGAAACGAGAUGAGAGACUUGAAAUGAAAGAGGAGAAAAAGCCCCAAAGUGAGUCUUUGCACGGCUGUGUCUUCUUCCCGCUGGUGAACUGUGGAUACUUAUGGCAGGGUAUGGGUGAUA